AUGUUACUCCUCUUCUUCAUUUUCAUUACUGCAAAUACUAAUGCAGAAGCUGCUGAGAGCAUUACUCCAAAUCAAACCAUCUCAUCUUCAACUGAAGGAAGCAACAUCACACUGUCCUGCACAUAUACAGGAUCACCAUACAGCAUUCACUGGUAUCAACAGAAACCUGGAUCAAAAUUAGAGUUUAUUCUGCUGAUUAAUGAACUUGGAGAUGUUACUCCAACACAACCACCUCACCCGAGAAUGUCCAGCAAAAUCUCAAGAGAUAAUAAGAAAGUGGAUCUGGAGAUCGUCUCUGCUGCAGUAUCUGACUCAGCACUGUACUACUGCGCCCUGAAGCCCACAGUGACAGGAAAUCCAACCAUGCUACACAAAAACCUUUUCUCAGAAGAGGGAGCUGUGUACAUGCUGUAA